CGUGCUAAGGUAGCAUAAUAAUUUGGCUUUUAAUUGAGGUCUGGAAUGAAAGGUUUAAUAUAUAUACAUACAUAUUACUUUCUUGUUUUAAAAGAUAAAACUUAGGGGCUGAGUAAAAACACUCAGUUGAUUGUAGGACGAUAAGACCCUAAAAGUUUUAUCUUUUAUGAAUUAGUUUAUUGUUAAACACUUAUACUAAAUGUAGAUUUGGUUGGGGUAACAGUUCUAGUUAAAUUAGAAUUAAUAAAAUACUAUUAUUAAACAGUGGUCCUUAAUAUUAGGAUAUUAAAUGUUAAUUACUUUAGGGGUAACAGAGUGAUUAUUUUAUAAAGCUCUUAUUUACAUAAUAGAUUGCUACCUCGAUGUUGAAUUAAGGGUUCGACUGGACGCAAAAGGCUUGGUUGAGGGUUUGUUCAACCUUUAAUUCCUUACAUGAUCUGAGUUUCAAACC
rnacentral:rRNA from 1 species